GUGAUGGUUGCUUCUUGGAACAGUUACCCAGAAUGCAAAUUGAGACCGGGAUUCCUCUAUGACCCUUCUCAUGCUCACGGCAGACAAAGAUGGAUGGAGCCCCACUUCCUCUGGGUGAACUGUCUGAGGGGAGAGCCAUCUACACUUCUGCUUCCAGAAACUUUAGCUCAAGUAAAUCGCCCAUCAACCAAACCUUUGGAACAUUCAAAACAGGACCGGGCAUCUUCUUCUCAUGGUCCCUGCUGCAGACAAGUGAUUCUGUGGAUGGGGUUAUGUUGGGUCACCACUGAAGAAUACCACUGAUGAUAUACAGCAUAUAGAUUUGCCAUUCUUGC
rnacentral:lncRNA from 1 species